UUUUGGACAAUGGGCGAAAGCCUGAUCCAGCCAUGCCGCGUGCAGGAUGAAGGCCUUCGGGUUGUAAACUGCUUUUGUACGGAACGAAAAGACUCCUUCUAAUAAAGGGGGUCCAUGACGGUACCGUAAGAAUAAGCACCGGCUAACUACGUGCCAGCAGCCGCGGUAAUACGUAGGGUGCAAGCGUUAAUCGGAAUUACUGGGCGUAAAGCGUGCGCAGGAGGUUAUAUAAGACAGAUGUGAAAUCCCCGGGCUCAACCUGGGAACUGCAUUUGUGACUGUAUAGCUAGAGUACGGCAGAGGGGGAUGGAAUUCCGCGUGUAGCAGUGAAAUGCGUAGAUAUGCGGAGGAACACCGAUGGCGAAGGCAAUCCCCUGGGCCUGUACUGACGCUCAUGCACGAAAGCGUGGGGAGCAAACAGG
rnacentral:rRNA from 1 species